rnacentral:rRNA from 1 species
UACGUAGGUGGCAAGCGAUACUCGGAAUCACUAGGCGUAAAGCGCAGGUAGGCGGUUUGGUAAGUCUUUUGUGAAAGCUCCCGGCUUAACUGGGAGAGGUCAAGGGAAACUACCGGACUAGAGUGUGGUAGGGGAUACUGGAAUUCCUGGUGUAGCGGUGAAAUGCGUAGAUAUCAGGAGGAAUACCUAUGGCGAAAGCAGGUAUCUGGGCCAUCACUGACGCUGAGCUGCGAAAGACCGUAGGGGAGCAAACAGGGAUUAGAACU